rnacentral:rRNA from 1 species
GUGUCAGCCGCCGCGGUAAGACAGAGGGUGCAAACGUUGUUCGGAAUUACUGGGCGUAAAGCGCAUGUAGGCGGCCAAGCAAGUCGGGUGUGAAAGCCCAGGGCUCAACCCUGGAAGUGCACUCGAAACUGCUCGGCUGGAGUCUCGGAGAGGAUCGCGGAAUUCUGGGUGUAGAGGUGAAAUUCGUAGAUAUCCAGAGGAACACCAGUGGCGAAGGCGGCGAUCUGGACGAGUACUGACGCUGAGAUGCGAAAGCGUGGGGAGCAAACAGGAUUAGAAACCCUCGUAGUCC